GGUCACCGUGGCUUAGCUGGUAAAAGCGCUUGCCUUGUAAACAGGAGAUCCUGGGUUCAAUUCCCAGCGGUGCCU